UACGUAGGGGGCAAGCGUUGUCCGGAAUCAUUGGGCGUAAAGAGCGUGUAGGCGGUCCGGUAAGUCGGCUGUGAAAGUCCAGGGCUCAACCCUGGGAUGCCGGUCGAUACUGCGGUGCUUGAGGACUGGAGAGGAGACUGGAAUUCAUGGUGUAGCAGUGAAAUGCGUAGAGAUCAUGAGGAAGACCAGUGGCGAAGGCGGGUCUCUGGACAGUUCCUGACACUGAGGCACGAAGGCCAGGGGAGCAAACGGG
rnacentral:rRNA from 1 species